rnacentral:lncRNA from 1 species
UGGCACCUAUAGUUGUGGUCAAAGACAAACUCAUUAUUUUCUGUCAUUGGCGACUUAAAACAUCACAUUCAGAUCACUUUUACAAGGAGUUAAUUAAUAUUGAAAAAAAAUUUACUCAACUAUUAUUUUACAGUUUUUACUAAUAAGUAAAUCAAUUACGGAAAGGUAAAUAUAAAGUCAGAGCCUGCCGUGUCAGUGGUAAAUAACCAGUCAAGGAUGUUUCACAUCCCCAUUAGUAAGUAUUAGUUACAUACAUUCAAAAUGCAGGUGAAGAAAAUAGUUGGAUUUAAUAAAUGUUUGGGUCAUUUCAGAAGAGAGGGGCAAAACAUACCAGAGGGACAGUCAAACUCAUAGAUCGAAAUUAAAAUGACAGGGACAUGGCUAAAAACGACAAAGACAAAGAGACAGUUAAUAGUACACAUGACAAAAC